AAGACCUUGCGCUUUUGGAGCGGCCGAUGCCUGAUUAGCUUGUUGGUAAGGUAAAAGCUUACCAAGGCUUCGAUCAGUAGCUGGUCUGAGAGGACGACCAGCCACACUGGGACUGAGACACGGCCCAGACUCCUACGGGAGGCAGCAGUGGGGAAUUUUGGACAAUGGGGGCAACCCUGAUCCAGCCAUGCCGCGUGAGUGAAGGAGGCCUUCGGGUUGUAAAGCUCUUUCAGCCGGAACGAAACGGUUACGGUUAAUACCCGUGACUACUGACGGUACCGGAAGAAGAAGCACCGGCUAACUACGUGCCAGCAGCCGCGGUAAUACGUAGGGUGCGAGCGUUAAUCGGAAUUACUGGGCGUAAAGCGUGCGCAGGUGGUUUUGUAAGUCAGAUGUGAAAGCCCCGGGCUCAACCUGGGAACU
rnacentral:rRNA from 1 species